rnacentral:rRNA from 1 species
GACAGAGGUGCCGAGCGUUAGGCGGAAUCACUGGGCUUAAAGCGCGUGUAGGCGGCCCUGCAAGUCGGAUGUGAAAUCCCACGGCUCAACCGUGGAAGUGCAUUCGAAACUGCAGGGCUAGAGUCCUGGAGAGGAAGGUGGAAUGCUUGGUGUAGAGGUGAAAUUCGUAGAUAUCAAGCGGAACACCGGUGGCGAAGGCGGCCUUCUGGACAGUGACUGACGCUGAGACGCGAAAGCGUGGGGAGCAAACAGG